rnacentral:ncRNA from 22 species
AAAUAUUAUAGAGAUGUUGAAGUAUAUUCUAUUAUUGGGCACCUUAUGGAUAUACUGAGUCAGUGGUGCAACCGGCUAUGAAUAUA